rnacentral:piRNA from 1 species
UCCUUGUUCGAUAGCUACGUAACUCUGGG